UACGUAGGUGGCAAGCGUUGUCCGGAUUUACUGGGUGUAAAGGGCGUGUAGCCGGGCUGACAAGUCAGAUGUGAAAUCCGGGGGCUCAACCCCCGAACUGCAUUUGAAACUGUUGGUCUUGAGUAUCGGAGAGGCAGGCGGAAUUCCUAGUGUAGCGGUAAAAUGCGUAGAUAUUAGGAGGAACACCAGUGGCGAAGGCGGCCUGCUGGACGACAACUGACGGUGAGGCGCGAAAGCGUGGGGAGCAAACAGG
rnacentral:rRNA from 1 species